rnacentral:misc_RNA from 2 species
AGCAGCCGCGGUAAUUCCAGCUCCAAUAGCGUAUAUUAAAGUUGUUGCAGUUAAAAGCUCGUAGUUGAAUUUUUGAUUCUGCCAAUUGGUCCAUCUUUUAGAUGAGUACUGGUUGUGUGGGGUCUAUCCGCCUGGUGAUACGUAAUGUCCUUUAUUGGAUGUUGCGGGUAGUCAGGACCUUUACCUUGAAAAAUUGAGUGUUUAAAGCAGGCUUAUGCCGGAAUACAUUAGCAUGGAAUAAUAGAAUAGGACGAAGUUGUUUUAUUUUGUCGGUUUCUAGGACAACCGUAAUGAUUAAUAGGGAUAGUUGGGGGCAUUAGUAUUCAAUUGUCAGAGGUGAAAUUCUUGGAUUUAUUGAAGACUAACUACUGCGAAAGCAUUUGCCAAGGAUGUUUUCAUUAAUCAAGAACGAAAGUUAGGGAUCGAAGACGAUCAGAUACCGUCGUAGUCUUAACCAUAAACUAUGCCGACUAGGGAUCGGGCGAUGUUGUUUCCAUGACUCGCUCGGCACCUUAUGGGA